rnacentral:misc_RNA from 1 species
GGUUAUGCAGCUCCAGAGUAUGUUCAGACUGGCAGACUGACUGCAAAGAGUGAUGUUUGGAGCUUUGGGGUGGUUCUCUAUGAGCUUAUCACGGGAAGGCGAGCACUUGAGAGAAACCUACCUCGGGCUGAGCAGAAACUUUUGGAAUGGGUAAGACCAUAUGUAUCAGAUUCAAAGAAGUUCCACCUUAUUGUUGACCCACGUCUUGAAGGACAGUAUUGCAUCAAAUCAGCUCAGAAACUAGCAGUUCUGGCAAACAAGUGUCUAAUGAAACAGCCAAAAUCCCGACCUAAAAUGAGUGAGGUAGUAGAGAUGCUUGGAAAAAUCAUCAGUGAGACAUCAUCUCAAGAUGAAGUUGCCUGUGAACCUGUUUCAGAAGAUGAAGAAGUUAAGGAAGAAACCUCCGUGGACACUGAUGAGUCUAUUAAACAAGGGAAUGGCUAUCGGAAGAAGGUUUUUGAUUUAAGAGAAAUAGUCAACUUGAGGAACAGAUCCAUAGGGAAAUUGGAUUGGAGAAAUUGGACACCUGGGUUGGUAAGAACUUCAGAAUAGAUAUCUGAUCGAGUAGAAAUUGCAUAGUACACCCUUUCUUUGUCGUAGGGAAUGGAUGAUUAGUGGGUUUCAUCCGCACUGUUGAAGAGAUGAAUACUGGAAUACUUAAUGCAAAAAGUUGGAAGGGUAUUCAUUUUCUUUUUGUUUGCAAGAUAGCUGUAUAUAUAGGUUGUUGGGCCUGAAGUGACAAGACGUACACUUCUCUGAAAUACACACUGUAAUCACAAAUUUGCAUGUCGAUUACAAUAGCCUUAAAUUUUGCCUAAGAUGUGGGUGGUCAUAUACGUGAAUAAGCUGAUUUCCAUUUCGUGAGUCCUAUUGCGUGGCUGGGGUGAUUUGCUUGGUUUCUUGCCCUGUAGAGUAGCAGCAUACAGGCUAUAGCCUUGCUCCUACAUGUUUUUGUCAUUUUACGUUGAGUGCGAAGGAUCAGGGUUUUUUCUCUGAACUAGGAAUUUUACCUGCCAUUGUGCUUGAUACUCUUGUGGAUCAUAAAUAUAUAUAAUUUGUUACAGAUGGGACAGGAGGAUUUGGAAUCGACUUGCGUAGUUAUUGAAUC